rnacentral:rRNA from 1 species
UACCAGCACCCCGAGUGGUCGGGACGUUUUAUUGGGCCUAAAGCAUCCGUAGCCGGUUCUACAAGUCUUCCGUUAAAUCCAGCUGCUUAACAGAUGGGCUGCGGAAGAUACUAUGGAGCUAGGAGGCGGGAGAGGCAAGCGGUGACUCGAUGGGUAGGGGUAAAAUCCGUUGAUCCAUUGAAGACCACCAGUGGCGAAGGCGGCUUGCCAGAACGCGCUCGACGGUGAGGGAUGAAAGCUGGGGGAGCAAACCGG